AGUGCCUAGGUCUCCAAACUWGGACCGAGUCUCGCUUGCGACCGCCGUCCGAAUUGUGUACGUUCAGCUCGCCCGCAUCGUUAUGCAGUCGCCGUCUGCCCACUCAUUGCGCACCCUUGCAUGGAAAACCAAGCCUUGUUGUGUCCCUUUGAACACGAUUAUGGCCUAUUCGGAAUGCCCCUUUCUAAAUAGCGGCUUUCUAGCCGGGCGCAGACUAAUCGAUCAACCACUCCAUUACCGAGUGGUUCCGCUGCUAGUCAUCGACCAGACUCUCCUACUAGUCGGUGUAACCCUGACUCUGUGCCGGGUUUGAGAUGCCCUCCGUCGUCACCCCUUAU
rnacentral:rRNA from 1 species